GCCCCUGUAGCUCAGAGGAUAGAGCAGAGGCUUCCUAAGCCUUGUGUCGGGAGUUCGAAUCUCUCCAGGGGCA
rnacentral:tRNA from 1 species